rnacentral:rRNA from 1 species
UACGUAGGGGGCGAGCGUUGUCCGGAAUCAUUGGGCGUAAAGCGCGUGUAGGCGGCCCGGUAAGUCCGCUGUGAAAGUCCAGGGCUCAACCCUGGGAUGCCGGUGGAUACUGUCGGGCUCGAGUACGGAAGAGGCGAGUGGAAUUCCUGGUGUAGCGGUGAAAUGCGCAGAUAUCAGGAGGAACACCAAUGGCGAAGGCAGCUCGCUGGGACGUGACUGACGCUGAGACGCGAAAGCGUGGGGAGCAAACAGG